GCCGCGCGAGCCGCGUGCUGCCGAGUGUGGUCCUGUCCGUCCACCUGUGCCCAUCGUCUGUCUCCGCUGCCUGCGUCCGGCUCCCGGCGCCGAGCACGGGCGUCCCGAGGACCGGGCGGGCGCGGCCGCUCCUCCGUUCCAUCUCAGCCUGUGUCUGGCCAGCCCAUCUGUCCGUCCGUCCGUCCGUCCGUCCGCUGUGGCCUCGGCAUGCGGGGGUGCCGGGGGCCGGUCUGCCGCCUGCUGCGAGGCGGUUCUCGGGGAGCCGGGUGCGUGUGCCUCCUGUCCGUCCGCUCGGCUCGGCGUCGCAGGCCACGCGGGCCGGGAUGCAUGGCCGGGCGGGCCGGGCUGCUGGGCCUUGUGGGCACCUCCCAGACUGGAGGGGCGGGCCCCCGGGGACUGCAGGGCCUGGGUCCCGGCCCCAGGGCAGGAGCGGAGGGCAAAGUGGCUCCCCAACCCACC